rnacentral:rRNA from 1 species
UAGGGAAUCUUCGGCAAUGGGGGGAACCCUGACCGAGCAACGCCGCGUGCGUGAAGAAGGUUUUCGGAUCGUAAAGCUCUGUUGUUAAGGAAGAACGAGUGUGAGAAUGGAAAGUUCAUGCUGUGACGGUACUUAACCAGAAAGGGACGGCUAACUACGUGCCAGCAGCCGCGGUAAUACGUAGGUCCCGAGCGUUGUCCGGAUUUAUUGGGCGUAAAGCGAGCGCAGGCGGUUAGAAAAGUCUGAAGUGAAAGGCAGUGGCUCAACCAUUGUAGGCUUUGGAAACUGUUUAACUUGAGUGCAGGAGGGGAGAGUGGAAUUCCAUGUGUAACGGUGAAAUGCGUAGAUAUAUGGAGGAACACCGGUGGCGAAAGCGGCUCUCUGGUCUGUAACUGACGCUGAGGCUCGAAAGCGUGGGGAGCGAACAGG